AAUAUUGCACAUUGGGGGCAGCCUUGACCCAGCCACUCCGCGUGAGUGAAAUAGUUCUUCGGUUUGUAACGCACUUUGAGUUGGGAGGAAGUGCAGUAAGUUAAUACCUUGCUGUUUAUACGUUACCGACAGAAUAAGAAUCGGCUCGUGCUGUGCCCGCAGCCGCGGUAAUACAGAGUGUGCAAGCGUUAAUCGGAAUUACUGGGCGUAAAGCGCGCGUAGGUGGUUUGUCAAGUUGGAAGUGAAAGCCACGGGAGCAACCUAGGAACUGCUUGCAAUACUGGCAAGCUAGAGUAUGGCAGAGGGAGGUGGAAUUUCCUGUGUAGCGGUGAAAUGCGUAGAUAUAGGAAGGAAAAUCAGUGGCGAAGGCGACCACCUGGGCUAAUACUGACACUGAGGUGCGAAAGCGUGGGGAGCAAAC
rnacentral:rRNA from 1 species